GAGUGAUGAAGGUUUUCGGAUCGUAAAGCUCUGUUGCCAGGGAAGAACGUUUUGUAGAGUAACUGCUCUUGAGUGACGGUACCUGAGAAGAAAGCCCCGGCUAACUACGUGCCAGCAGCCGCGGUAAUACGUAGGGGGCAAGCGUUGUCCGGAAUUAUUGGGCGUAAAGCGCGCGCAGGCGGCUCUUUAAGUCUGGUGUUUAAUCCCGAGGCUCAACUUCGGGUCGCACUGGAAACUGGGGAGCUUGAGUGCAGAAGAGGAGAGUGGAAUUCCACGUGUAGCGGNGAAAUGCGUAGAGAUGUGGAGGAACACCAGUGGCGAAGGCGACUCUCUGGGCUGUAACUGACGCUGAGGCGC
rnacentral:rRNA from 1 species